CACCGCUUGGUGAAAAUAUUGCCGCAUAGGACGGGGUUAAGUAGGCUUCGGCUCGAACAAUCUCGCAGGCAAACAAGGAC
ncrna:unclassified sequences RT-18 RNA